rnacentral:rRNA from 1 species
CCUACGGGAGGCAGCAGUGAGGAAUAUUGGUCAAUGGACGAGAGUCUGAACCAGCCAAGUAGCGUGAAGGAUGACUGCCCUAUGGGUUGUAAACUUCUUUUAUAUGGGAAUAAAAUGUUCCACGUGUGGGAUUUUGUAUGUACCAUAUGAAUAAGGAUCGGCUAACGUCGUGCCAGCAGCCGCGGUAAUACGGUGGAUCCGAGCGUUACCCGGAUUUAAUGGGUGUAAAGGGAGCGUAGGUGGAUUGUUAAGUUAGUUGUGAAAGUUUGCGGCUCAACCGUAAAAUUGCAGUUGAAACUGGCACUCUAGAGUACAGUAGAGGUGGGCGGAAUUCGUGGUGUAGCGGUGAAAUGCUUAGAUAUCACGAAGAACUCCGAUUGCGAAGGCAGUUCACUGGACUGCAACUGACACUGAGGCUCGAAAGUGUGGGUAUCAAACAGGAUUAGAUACCCGUGUAGUC